GAUGAACGCUGGCGGCGUGCCUAAUACAUGCAAGUCGAGCGAAGCGGGGACGGGUGAGUAACACGUGGAUAACCUCAUAUAAGACUGGGAUUACUUCGGGAAACCUGGUCCAAACCGGAUACUUAUCGAUGGAUCCGCGCUGAAUUGGCUAGUUGGUAAGGUAACGGCUUACCCAGGCAACGAUGCAUAGCCGACCUGAGAGUGUGAUCAGACACACGGGGAAUGAGACACGGUCCAGACUCCUACGGGAGGCAGCAGUAGGGAAUCUUGCGAAAUGGGGGAAAGCCUGACGGAGCAACGCCGCGUGAUUGAUGAAGGGCUUCGGAUCGUAAAACUCUUUUAUUAGGGAAGCGGUACCUAAUCAGAAAGCCACGGCUAACUACGUGCCAGCCGCCGCGGUAAUAC
rnacentral:rRNA from 1 species